UACGUAGGGUGCGAGCGUUAAUCGGAAUUACUGGGCGUAAAGUGCGCGCAGGCGGCUCUGCAAGUCGAGUGUGAAAUCCCCGAGCUUAACUUGGGAAUUGCGCUCGAAACUAUGGAGCUGGAGUGUGGCAGAGGAAGGUGGAAUUCCACGUGUAGCGGUGAAAUGCGUAGAGAUGUGGAGGAACACCGAUGGCGAAGGCAGUCUUCUGGGCCAACACUGACGCUCAUGCACGAAAGCGUGGGGAGCAAACAGG
rnacentral:rRNA from 1 species